rnacentral:ncRNA from 1 species
UACCUGGUUGAUCCUGCCAGUAGUCAUAUACUUGUUUCAAAGAUUAAGCCAUGCAUGUGUAAGUAUGAACAAAUUCAGACUGUGAAACUACGAAUGGCUCAUUAAAUCAG